GACGAACGCUGGCGGCGUGCUUAACACAUGCAAGUCGAACGGAAAGGCCCUGCUUUUGUGGGGUGCUCGAGUGGCGAACGGGUGAGUAACACGUGAGUAACCUGCCCUUGACUUUGGGAUAACUUCAGGAAACUGGGGCUAAUACCGGAUAGGAGCUCCUGCUGCAUGGUGGGGGUUGGAAAGUUUCGGCGGUUGGGGAUGGACUCGCGGCUUAUCAGCUUGUUGGUGGGGUAGUGGCUUACCAAGGCUUUGACGGGUAGCCGGCCUGAGAGGGGGACCGGGGACAUUGGGACUGAGAUACGGACCAGACUCCAACGGGCGGCAGCAGGGGGGAACAUGGCACAGUGGGCGGACGCCUGAGGCAGCAACGCCGCGUGCGUGAUGACGGCCUUCGGGUUGUAAACCGCUGUCGCAGGUGACGAAGCGUGAGUGACGGUAAUGGGUAAAGAAGCACCGGCUAACUACGUG
rnacentral:rRNA from 1 species